CCUGGUAGUCCACGCCUUAAACGAUGAGUACUAGAUGUUUGGUGCCAAGCGUACUGAGUGUCGUAGUUAACGCGAUAAGUAUUCCGCCUGGGAAGUACGGCCGCAAGGUUAAAACUCAAAGGAAUUGACGGGGGGCCCGCACAAGCGGUGGAGCAUGUUGGUUUAAUUCGAUGCAACGCGAAGAACCUUACCUGGGCUUGACAUGUCUGGAAUCCUGCAGAGAUGCGGGAGUGCCCUUCGGGGAAUCAGAACACAGGUGCUGCAUGGCUGUCGUCAGCUCGUGUCGUGAGAUGUUGGGUUAAGUCCCGCAACGAGCGCAACCCUUGUCCUUAGUUGCCAGCGGUUCGGCCGGGCACUCUAGGGAGACUGCCGGUGACAAACCGGAGGAAGGUGGGGAUGACGUCAAGUCCUCAUGGCCUUUAUGUCCAGGGCUACACACGUGCUACAAUGGCGCGUACAGAGGGAAGCCAAGCCGCGAGGUGGAGCAGACCCCAGUAAGCGCGUCUGUAGUUCUGGAUUGCAGUCUGC
rnacentral:rRNA from 1 species